rnacentral:rRNA from 1 species
GGAUUAGAUACCCUGGUAGUCCACACUGUAAACGAUGAUAACUGGAUGUUUGUAGGCAUAUAUAAGCGUCUGAGGGAAACCAUUAAGUUAUCCACCUGGGGAGUACGGCCGCAAGGCUGAAACUCAAAGGAAUUGACGGGGGCCCGCACAAGCGGAGGAACAUGUGGUUUAAUUCGAUGAUACGCGAGGAACCUUACCCGGGCUUGAAAGACAGUUGCAUAGAGCAGAGAUGUUCUUUUGUAGCAAUACACCACUGUCUAGGUGCUGCAUGGCUGUCGUCAGCUCGUGUCG